rnacentral:lncRNA from 1 species
CUAACAAUUACAUAUCCUGUGACACCCCAUAUCUAACUCGAUCACCAGGUCUGAGCUAUAAUAUGUCACAUUCAUUGCCAGAGCAACUACGAUCAAAUAUAGUCAAUUUUAACCAACUCACAUUUAAAUACAAGCAAUGUAGGAAUAUGAUAUGAUAUACAAACCUUUCUAGAUCUUAUAUGAGCUUACGAAAGCUCUAUUGCUAACUCAAGGUCAAAUUAGGACUAAACUAUAAUGCUUUCAAAAUCUCAUGUCGGCGACGUUGCAACUUCAAGAGUUCCUUGUCGUAACGCAACAUACUGACUUGGUCUCAUCGCAACAACAAAUGUCCAACGUCGCGACAUGACUGUUUGUUUAUAAAUGGUACAAAUUGAUACACACCUGCAAAUGCCAAACCAACCAAAACACAUUUCCAUAACACAUUUUCCAGCCAAAAACACAAUUCUCAUGACUUAGUUAUGAACCAUAGCACCUUAUUCAUAAAUGUGCUAAUUUCAUAUUACCAUUUCUUCAAUACUAUACAAUUUACAAUUAAUUACCUAGUACAAUUCAUUCAAGCAGUUGAUAUAUAUACAUCAUCAAAUAGGGCAUGGAUAAAUCAACUUUGUAUACAAUUUCAGACCUUGCAUUAUACUCAAAUACAUAUACAACCAUAUGACCAUUUCCAUAUACAAAAUUCUAACUUUCAAUGUACACAAAAUCAUGUUAUUACAUCAAAAACCAACACAAUCUAGGUACAUGUCAUACUUAAAACAAAACAGGAUUGUAGCACCCCCUUAACCCCAAACCGUCGCCGGAAUAGGGUUACGAGGCAUUACCAGACAUAUCAGACAACUUACAAAAUAAUCUACAAAUAAAUAAUAAUAUUCAUAAUAUAAUAUAAUAGUUAAGUCCUAAUAAUAGACGUUCGAAGCCAAAACGUAAAUUUAAAAGUGAAACGAAACUUGUUCAAAUUCUUCGGAAAUUUUUCGUAAUUUAAUUUUUUUUAAAAUUUCGACAGCAUUUCUGCUUAUUUUUAUAUAAAACCCCCUGCAAACUUUAAACCCAAAAACAAACCAAUAUCAAUACUCCAACCAAUGAUUAAGUAUACUCAAUUACAUCCAAUUUAUAUUAAAAUAAUAAUUUAAUAUUAAUAAUAUUAAUUUCAUUUCAAUUAUUUAAUAUCAAACCUACCAUUUCACAACUUUAUAUCGUAUUCAUAAUCCAAAACAUUAUAAUCAUUUAUAUACAACCAAAAUCAUUUAACUUAAUGUAUACACAUAAUUUAUAUGCAACUACCUAGUACAUGCCACUUAACAAAAGGAAGAAAUACAUCACCAAAAUCUUUUUGUUGGAGUCGGGUUUGUUUUGGAUUCUAGGCCAGAUCCGAAACUCUAAUGACCUGCGCACGAAAACAACCGUACGUUGAGUAUUUCAUACUCAGUGGUAUUACUAUAAAUCAAGAAUUUAACAUUAAUAAAUUACAAACAUCAACCAUAAAUUUAUUAUUAUUUUUUUAAACUAAUUAUAUAUAUAAUUAUAUUAGUUCGUAAAUCUUAAAUUCAUAAUUCAUUUUUUUUCUCAUACCAACUCAAUUCAUAAUUUAGUUCAUACAUUUUUUCUCAUACUUUUCAAUAGUGUCAAAACAAAUAAUCUCAUUUUCAAAAUUUCAUUUCAAUUAAUUACCCUAUUAACUAGGCUCGGACUCUGACGAUACGCGGAUUCCAUCCAAACACAUCAGAAUAUCCAACCCAAACACACCCGGAAUAUUAUAAAUCCUCCAUAACACACCAGUAAGGCAUUAAUUGCCUCUUCGAAUAAACCGAAGUAUAUAAUAACAGAAACAUCUUCUUGGCCGAACUACAAUCUCCUCAUCACAUCACAAAUCCAAUGGCAUACCAUUUGUAUCAAAUCUAGUCCGACAAGUUAAUAGGGUAUUAUUUUACUUUUCUAAUUUCAAUUUCAUUUACACAAAAAAUUUCAAUACUCAAUCAAUUCAAAUAUCUAUUAUCUUAAUUCAUAUACAAAUUAAUUUUCACACAUACUUAUAUUUAAAUUUAAAUAUAAUACUUACCUUAUCUUAUUUAUUCCAUAUCUAUAAAUUCAAUAUACAUUUAAUAAAUAGUUUGAGUUAUAGUAAUACAAACCCGGAAUACGAGUUUACUCCUCAACGAUUUUUUCUUUUUCCUUUGGAUGCCGAUGCCUCGUUUUCCUUGUUAGCUACGAAAAAAAAUAAUAACAAUUUACAUUAUUAAUUACAGCAUUAAUUUAAUAAUUAAUUGAAUUUUUAUUCAAUUUAUUCCCUAAUUCUCAUUUAAUCCUAAUUAACUCUUUUAUUUGUUUAACUUAAUUUAUACUUCAUUUCUACUCAAUUUCCUUCCAUGUUCACCCUAACAAUCUAAUAUUCAUUAUAAAACCCUAAUUUAAAAUUUCUUUCAAUUUAAUUUCCUAAAACACAAAACUUAUAGCUUCUUUUACAAUUUAAUCCCUUUUUCAAUUCCUAACUUAAAAUUCAUUCAAUUAAAUCCCUAAUUCUUCUUUUUCUUCAACAUGAACUUUGUUUAAAAGCUUUUAAAUUUUCAAACUAUCAAAUUAAUUUCAUCAAAACCUUGUUUUAAGACUUCUAAAACAUCAAAAUUAAAUAGAAAAGACUUAAAUGACUUACCAAUCACAACUUUGAACCUUAAACUCUUAGUUUUUCCUUUUUCUUUCCUUUUCCCUUUUCUUCCUGCUCUGUUUCGAAUGUCUCUGUUCUUUCUUU